AUUGAACGCUGGCGGCAGGCCUAACACAUGCAAGUCGAACGAGAGGCGGACGGGUGAGUAAAGUCUGGGAAACUGCCCGAUGGAGGGGGAGAAAUACUGGAAACGGUAGCUCAUACCACAUACCAUCGGAUGUGCCCAGAUGGGGUUAGCUAGUAGGUGGGGUAACGGCUCACCUAGGCGACGAUCCCUAGCUGGUCUGAGAGGAUGACCAGCCACACUGGAACUGAGACACGGUCCAGACUCCUACGGGAGGCAGCAGUGGGGAAUAUUGCACAAUGGGCGCAAGCCUGAUGCAGCCAUGCCGCGUGUAUGAAGAAGGCCUUCGGGUUGUAAAGUACUUUCAGCGAGGAGGCGUUACUCGCAGAAGAAGCACCGGCUAACUCCGUGCCAGCAGCCGCGGUAAUAC
rnacentral:rRNA from 1 species